rnacentral:rRNA from 1 species
GGGGAUAACAGUUGGAAACGACCGCUAAUACCGCAUAACCCGCUAGUAUCGCAUGAUACGGACGGAAAAGAUUUAUCGGUAUGAGAUGGACCCGCGUCUGAUUAGCCAGUUGGCAGGGUAACGGCCUACCAAAGCAACGAUCAGUAGCCGGCCUGAGAGGGUGAACGGCCACAUUGGGACUGAGACACGGCCCAAACUCCUACGGGAGGCAGCAGUGGGGAAUAUUGCACAAUGGGGGAAACCCUGAUGCAGCGACGCCGCGUGAGUGAGGAAGUAUUUCGGUAUGUAAAGCUCUAUCAGCAGGGAAGAAAAUGACGGUACCUGACUAAGAAGCCCCGGCUAACUACGUGCCAGCAGCCGCGGUAAUACGUAGGGGGCAAGCGUUAUCCGGAUUUACUGGGUGUAAAGGGAGCGUAGACGGUUAAUCAAGUCAGAAGUGAAAACCCAGGGCUCAACCUUGGGACUGCUUUUGAAACUGAGUAGCUAGAGUGCAGGAGAGGUAAGCGGAAUUCCCAGUGUAGCGGUGAAAUGCGUAGAUAUUAGGAGGAACACCAGUGGCGAAGGCGGCUUACUGGACUGUAACUGACGUUGAGGCUCGAAAGCGUGGGGAGCAAACAGGAUUAGAUACCCUGGUAGUCCACGCCGUAAACGAUGAA